rnacentral:rRNA from 1 species
UACGGAGGGUGCGAGCGUUGUCCGGAAUCAUUGGGCGUAAAGGGCGCGUAGGUGGCCCGGUGAGUCUUUGGUGAAAGCGCGGGGCUCAACCCUGCGUCGGCCAGGGAUACUGCCGCGGCUCGAGCACUGUAGAGGCAGGCGGAAUUCCGGGUGUAGCGGUGGAAUGCGUAGAGAUCCGGAAGAACACCGGUGGCGAAGGCGGCCUGCUGGGCUAUGGCUGACACUGAGGCGCGACAGCGUGGGGAGCAAACAGG